UACGAAGGUGGCAAGCGUUGUUCGGAUUUACUGGGCGUACAGGGAGCGUAGGCGGUUGGGUAAGCCCUCCGUGAAAUCUCCGGGCCUAACCCGGAAAGUGCGGAGGGGACUGCUCGGCUAGAGGAUGGGAGAGGAGCGCGGAAUUCCCGGUGUAGCGGUGAAAUGCGUAGGAGAGUCGGGGAGGAAGGCCGGGUGGCGAAGGCGGCGCUCUGGAACA
rnacentral:rRNA from 1 species